rnacentral:misc_RNA from 1 species
GGGAAAAAUCUGAGAAAAAUUCCAGCUGCUUUCUCUCCGAUUUUUUUCACCGCCCAUGACAUGCUUUACUACACUCCCGUGCAUCUCUUGUUCCUGCUUACCACGAGAUGAAAAUACCCCUGCUGCUUUCCAGCCUUUCGUAAGUACUAUAUGGAGAAAUGGUCAAAAGAACAAAUAAAAGGUGAAUGCGAUAGGAAAAGAGAGGUUCUCCUGAUAUUUUUCUUCUUCGGCUGCCUUAUCCUCUUCUUCUUCCAGCCAUCGUCUACAUCCGUCGCUGGAUUUUUUUUCCCCUGCGCCGCUCAUCUGCUGUUCUUAUCCCAUGCCGCCGUUCGCUGGCCGCGUGUACUCUGGGGUCGUCGUGCUGGCCGCCUCCCUCGUCUUCUCCUCAGGCCCUCCCGCGCUCUCCCUGCCUUCUGCACGCGCGCAGCUCGCCCCAGAUCCUCCCAGCCAUGACGCGCGCUUCCCUGUGCCCCGCGUUCCUUCUCUGCACUGCUUCCUCUGCUCCAUCUUCAAGCACGCCGCGCUCCAAAUCGCCUGCUGUUCCUCUUCCCCAGCCAUGGCCGCGCCUGGCUCGCCGGCGUUCAGGCCGCGGCUUCCUCCUCCAACUCCGGUCGGCCAAGAGCCUAGCUGCCCCCUUGCUUCUCUCCCUCCAUUUCCCAGCAGCGCCCUGUCCCUGUCGAAGCCCUUCUAUGGCGCGCGUGGAUUUCUCCUCCUCCAUCCCCAGCUAGCCUGCGAGCUCCUCCCUCCUCCCUGCAUCCAUGGAUCUCGGCGCCCAUCUCCAUGGCUCGCCCUGCGUCCAGCCGCCGCGCCCGGUUCCGAGUCCCUUUCCUGGCCGAGUUCCCUGCUCCAUCUCUGCCCUCUGCCGGCGCUCCAGCUCCUCCAUCCAUGGCCAUGCCUGCUGCUCGUCGGUGCUCGCCGCGGGAGACGGCGCUUGGUCGCCCAACCUUCCUGCUCCUCCCUGCUGUCGUGUCCCUGGCUCCUGCUCCACUCGUUGCGUGCGCCUGCGCGCUGCCCAGAUGGCCGUCUGUCCUUCCGUGUCACGCCUAGCUCCAGCUCGGUCUCUGCUCGAUGCCCAGCGUCGCGCAGCACGGCUCGGCCCGACGGCAUAGAGUGUCUCGUCAUCGCCGGACUUGUCUCGCCGACCAUCGUGGCGUUG